ACACUUUACUGUGUAAAGGCAUCUGAUUAGCUCAGCUGAUCUGUGUCUAGUUCACCAGCUGCUGCAUAACCUCAAUUGAGUACUGGAAGACACAGCUACAUCACUCACCUGCUUUCUCGUGAGCAGGGCAAGUCCCAUCACCCUGAAAUCGCACUCCUGCACCCCUUUACAGGCAAGCGCACUUGUCUGACUCUGCAAGCAGCCUUCCUACGCUAGCAGAUAGGGCAGUAUUUACCUGCCUGUGAGGGGGACUAGUUCUUUCGCUGAAGCAGAAAAACAGUGCUGCUCCAGUUCACCAUGGGAAGAGAGGAUGACAGGACCAACCAGAUGGAAGUGGCAGAGAGCUGUGAAAGGGGUGAAGAAUGUAUGGAUUACCUCUUAGGUACAGCAAGUUAUGAGCUCAACUCAUGAUGUCAGCCCACGGCCUUGCUCAACUUGGUAUGGCCUCUUCUUCUGUUCCCCUUCGGACUUCUGCUUAGCAUCACUUGGAAAAUGUGCUCCUAUGGGUGGGACCUGAAGAAAGAUCUUUUCUCCCAGUUCCCCAAGCAAUCUACUUGGCUUACAGCUUCAUUUUUCACAUCUUGACUGAUCUAAAGAUGAGGCCAAAAAUUUUUAUUUGCUUCUGCUUUAUACGAACACAUGCACAUAGAAAUCCAUUACUGAGGUUAUGGGGACAGAGCAACUCAGAUGCUGACACGAUUUUUACUUAUAUGCACAUUUUGUGUGUAAGAUAGAAACUAAAUAUGCUAUUCUUCAGAGAGGCAGAGCAAAGUAAUUCCCAUAACUUUUGAAAGACAUUCCUACAAUAUAUUGUAGUAUUUUCUGAAAGUGUAUUUUAUGUUCACAAAGAGUUAUAAUCUUAGAACACAGAAUAUCCCAUGUUGGAAAGGACCCAUAAGGAUUGUCAAGUCCAACUCCUUACUCCACACAGGACCACCCAAAAAACAGGCCAUAUGACUGAGAGCGUUGUCCAAACACUCCUUGUGCUUGGGGCCAUACUCAUCGCAUUCUAGUGCAGAACUUUUCCCUAACCCCCAGCUGCACCUCCCUUGAUGGAGCCAUAGGCCAUUCCUGCCUGCCCUGUUGCUGUCACCAGAGCAGAGCUCAGUGCUGCCACUCCGUUCCCUGUGAGGAGCUGCAGUGGCUAUGAAGCUUCCCCUCAGCUCCUCUGCUCUGGGCUGAAGAAACCAUGAAGAAUCACACUGGGCCCCAUGGAUUUACAGGCAUCCAGGUGGAGCAGCAAAUCCCGUGCAAGUUCAGGGUUAGCUGGGAGUUCAUUUUCAUCACAUUGUUCAGAUCCCUCCUCCUCUAAGUCAAAGCCUUGGUUCAUUUUUCCUAGUAGAAUGUGUUACAAGGAUGAAAGCAUAACCUUUGAAGGCUGAAGAAAAAUUCAGAUGGCUUUUGUUCUACGUGCCAAAUAAUGUGAGAAAAAAAUGGGGAAAAAAAUGGAACACUUCAGUAUUUAGAAUGGAAACGGGAUUUAAAAUAUAUUUCCAUAUAUUAUUUAUUUUUUAGAACAAAACAAGGAACAGAAUCUCACUACUAAUUCUGUCAGUGAAUUAGUUUACAUCUAAUAAAAUUGCUACGUUAAACUGUGAAAGUCUGAUAGUGACUUCUGUAUGGCAAUUAAUUUUGCUAAAGAACAUUCUCAAGCGCGAGGAAGUCUAAUGCUUGUUUAAUCAAACACUGAAAUUAUUCUUUUUGACUGAAAAAGCCUGAUUUUUCUUUGCAGUUCCAACAAGUAUAGGAUGGCCAAGUGACUUCAAUUUUGUUAGGUCUUUGGAAUUUCUCUUUGGCCUUUCUGAUAAAGGGGAAACCUGACUUUUUUGCCUGUAGUUCUGUGUUCAUAAAAAGGCACAUCUUCUCUUAACUCUGAGGCUGCAGCAUAGUGGUGAAAACUAAAUAUUUUUUCACCAUUACAUGUAGGACU
rnacentral:lncRNA from 1 species